AUGGCGUGGGGCGGCGAGGGGAGGGACUGGGCCGCGGCGGACUCGGCGGCGGAGGGAGGAGCGCGGCUGCGGGCGGGCGGGCGGCGAGCGAGGCGCUCAAAGUCAGCCUCGCAGACAUUGCAGCAGAGCCCCGAACUCGGGAGGCCGCGGCGGAGGAGGCGGCGGCGAGGCGCAGGGACGAUCCGGCCCCACGCCCGCCCGCCACCCGCGCGCGCCCGUCCACCCGUGGCCUCGCGUCCGCCGCUGCGCCGGGAGCGCCGCUGGUCGGAGGGAAGAGCUCGCCGGGGUGCCGGGCCAGGACGGGGCGGCAGGCGCCUUCGCGGACCGAGCCUGACGGAGCCGGAGGCUGGGAGCCGCGGCGGCCUGGGGAAGUGUUUGGAUUGUGAGCUAUUUCAGAACUCUGUUCUCAGGACUCAUUAUUUUAACAUUUGGGAGAAACACAGCCAGAAGAUGCAUACUUGA
rnacentral:lncRNA from 1 species